UGACCAGGAGGAGCAGAUAGAAGAUAGAUGGGUGGAUGGCUGUAGUUUUUUGUGCGUUGCCACAGAUUUGACUAACUUCCCAGUCAGAUACCCAAUCAGACGUCUUUCAUAAUACAUCAUUUGGGACAUAUUGGAAAUCGACAUACAGCCAUAUUCAUGUUACUGUCAUUUAUCAUGUAUAUAUUCAAAGUAUAAAAUGUUGGUUUAUAGUGUCAUGCAAAUAUUUUAGGCAAUUUUCCUGCAUGUAGGGAUGAAUUGUUACUAAAGCUGUCAGACUGGCUGAUGUGUCUGUAGACAGUUUCAAAUCUCAGCAAGUGUUACAGCUGUACUCAGUAAUAACUUAUGCAGUUCAGUCAUAAAUACAUCUUGGUGUGUAAAUUAAAUAAUUAACCUCACCUGUUCACUGUCAGUGAUGAACACUUUGGUCGUAACCUUAAUUGAUUAUUCUGUAUCCAACAAGCUACUCCAAUAUUGUUUUUAGAAUAAUGGGUAACACUUUACUUAAUGGUGCACAAAUAAUACAUGCCAUUGCUUAUGUAUUAAUUAACCAUAAACUAAGUCUUAGUUACAUAUUGAUCUCAUGUUAAUUCAUCAUUAAUGAAUCAUGACAUGCUUUAUCUAAAGCAGUUACUAUAUCUGUUACUACAUCUCUUAAUUCUGUAAACCUUUCUGAACAACUGAAGUAACAAGUAACACAAGUAAAAUACUGAUCUCAUGUUUGUUCACCACUAAUCAAUCGUGAUUCAUCUUUCAUCACAAAUAGCCGCAAUAUUUGUUCAUGAUUUGUGCUUCAGUAGUUACUGAGUUAUUACUAUAUUACUUGUGCGGUUUUAUAAAUGACCUUUUCCUUAUGAGUCUUUCCUGCCUGACAAGACAGAGUUUUUCCUUUUCCCUCCUAAUCAUAAGCCACUGUCCUUACUCCAGGUUCUGCUCCUGGAUCGAGCCCCACAGGAGUGAAUGAUAAGGAACAGAGUAUCCCUGAGACGGCAUCCCAUCUAGGCUCCUUGGUCCAGCUGGCUCUGUAUGUAGGACUGGGCUUAUUGGUGCUGCUGUUGAUCAUCAUCAUCAUCACAUGGAAAGUGUGGGACAAACACA